rnacentral:tRNA from 1 species
CCCUCGAUAAGUCAUUUGACAGAGCGGAGGACUGUAGAUGUUACAACGGUGAUCCUUAGGUCGCUGGUUCAAAUCCGGCUCGAGGGA